UACAGAGGUCCCAAGCGUUGUUCGGAUUCACUGGGCGUAAAGGGUGCGUAGGUGGUGAGGUAAGUCGGAUGUGAAAGCUCGGAGCUCAACUCCGAAAUGGCAUUGGAAACUACCUUGCUCGAGGGUUGGAGGGGGGACUGGAAUACUUGGUGUAGCAGUGAAAUGCGUAGAUAUCAAGUGGAACACCAGUGGCGAAGGCGAGUCCCUGGACAACUCCUGACACUGAGGCACGAAAGCUAGGGGGAGCAAACAGG
rnacentral:rRNA from 1 species